CCUGCUUUGGCAGGGGGGUUGGACUCAAUGAUCUCUAGAGGUCCCUUCCAACCCCUACAGUUCUGUGAUUCUGUGCCUGAUCAGACGAGCCUAUCCCUCAUCCAUGCAGCAAUUGGCAGCGAUGAUCAUUGAUUCUGUCUGCUUUUCUUCUUGCACCACUUUGAAAUGGAAGCAUUUUCUUUUGAACAGUGCAUAGAAUACAGCAACGUCCAUGGGGUGGUCAGCGAGUGUGUGCUAAAGGUUAGAAACGAGGACAAAGGGUAAGUGCCUUGUGUGCGUUUCCUCAGGAAGCUGAAGACAAAGACUGGGGUAAGAUUCCAGAUCGUCGGUUCCCAUGCCGUAACCACAGAAUUAUCAUGGGACUUGCUUAAAAAAAUGCGUUUCUGUAGUAAAUCCAAGACCGUUAUCCACACUUCUUAAUCCCUAAAAAUGAAAACAUACUGUGUGAUAUAAAAAGGAAACAGAAGGAAGGUGACGCUACUCCCACCCUAUUAAUAUAUUCUGGUGUUCGGUUUGUUUUCCUGGGUUACUUCAAUUUACCCACGUUUCCCAAUGAGUUUUCAUGACCAAUGCCUUGACUGUUGAUUUAAAACUGCUGUUGACUGAAGGUAGGUAAACAUGUGUGGGGCAAAGUGGAGCUUCACACUGCAGGUUUUGUUACGAUUGCAGUCGUUGCUCUCUGGCUGCUCUGUGCUUUUGCUGUGCACAGUCAUGCUGGAGCACAGUGCUUCCUACCAGCUCUGUGUUUAUCUGACUGAUUCUUCCGGUUGCAUACAUUUGUCUUUCCAAGCAAUGAAGCAGGCAAGUAAUUUGUGUUCCUCAUAGCUCACCAGGUGAUGUUGGUUGGAUCAGGGCUGCAGAACAGGCAUCACACAGAGGCUUGGAGCGAGGUUCUCGUGCUGGUUUUGAAUUGGAGCCCAUUUCAGAGUGAAAUCUUUGCCUCCUGAAAGAAUAAAGCUUGUUGUUUGCCCCCGCACCUCCCUGUUUUCCAUGUACCUUAGCAUAGAUUCCAGGAGGAUUUUCUACAUGCCCUUCCCUGGCACAGAGGUGAGGCUAACAGGUCAGCAGCUCCCUGGGUCAUUCUUUCUACCCUUCUUAAAAAUGGGUGUUAAUCACGUUCUACCAGUCACCAGGCAAAGCUUCAUUUUCCAGUGAGUGACAGAGGACAGUGGUGUCCCAGUGUGGAUCAGUUUCAGCCUCUGAUCUCCUGUUCCAUUCACAGAGGCCUUAAUCUGUGCAAGGGGAGGUUCAGGUUGGAUAACAGGAAAAAUCUCAUCUCAGGAAGAAUGGUGAGGCAUUGGAAUGGGCUGCCCAGGGAAGUGGAGUAGUCACUGUGUUCAAGGAACAUGUAGCACUGAGGGACAUGUUAGUAGGCAGGAUGGGGCUGGGCUGAUGGAUGCAGUAGCUGGUCUUAGGGAGUUUUCCAGUCUUAACGAUUAUGUGAUUUAAUUAUUUUUUGUUCAUCUCCCUCAGGAGGAGCUGGAGGUUCAGAUUCAUCUCCCCUUGACACAACUGACAGAAGUGCAGGGUUGCCAUGGGCUUCCUUGGCAGUCAAUAAUGAGUAAUGAUCAAAGAGCAAGGCAAAUUGCAGAUGGUUUAAUCACUUUCUAGAGCUGCAGCUGACCUCAGAUAGAGGUGCAUAGCAGGUGUGUGGCUACACCAGGCCUCUAAUAAACAGCACCUCUUGGACAUGCCUGGAUGGAAGGGAUGGCUACCAGUCUUUGUCCCACGCUGCUCCAUCAGUGAGCCAGCCAUCUCUUUUCCCUAAUAGUCAUCAGUGUGCUGCUGUUCUCCAAACGCUCUGGAGAGCCCUUGGCAUACGUUGUCCUUCUUUCUUCCCUGAACUCUCCCCAGGUGUAAUUCAUAUUCCCUAAAGCUUCCAGCUUUAGGAACCCCCUACAGCUGUUAGAAGAGGCUUAAACAAUCUCAGUAGGAAGCAGAGAACUUUAUCAUAGCUAAGUAGGAUGAGUACACACGUAAUCCCCCUUACAAAGCCACUUGCCUUCCAACUCUAAUGCAUAAAAAUUAGGAAAGGAUUGGAUCAAUGUUAUUUUUCUCGUAUCUAAUUCGAGAACAAUAGAGCACAUUAAGUAAUUAAAAUGUUCACCUGUAAGGUGCUUAAAAGCAAAGCUGCUGGCAGAUAUAUAAUUAGCUGCAGUUAGCUGCUUGCUUAUUUACUUCAGAUAAUUUAUCUAGUGUGGGGUCUUUUGGCUUGGAGCUUCAUUUAGAAAAUGCUGUUGCAUAAGGUAAUGCAGCAGAAUAGGUGGGGGUUACAAUUAAAAAGGUACAAAAAUUAUAGUUUAUUAAGCCAACAUACAUGCUAAGUUAGGGCAUUUCAAGUCCUCUUUAUAGUGCCAUCUACAGGUGUUGGCAAUUAAUCUCUUAUCAGAACUACAGUCCCUAACAGGCUGUGUAAAAUCACCCCAAAUGGUGCUAUUUUAUUGUGUUAUUGUUGGGGCUGUUUUUGCACUUUGUUUAGCUCUCUCUCCAUGAGCUGCUGGCAUCACCACUUGGAAGUAAGGCCUGUUCUUUUUGCUUCUUUUUCCUCAUGGGUCUUUAAAAUCCAACUACAAUGGGAAAGCAGACCUUGGGGGAACUAUCUGCAGUUUGUCUAUUGCUCUGAUGCUGUCUGUGAAUGAGGGACUCAGCCAAAGAACCCACAAACAGUGUUUGUGGUCUGGAUAAGACUUAUGGGAGGCUGUGAGAUAAAGACUGACAUUGGGGCAGAGGGAGAAAUAUCCCUUGUUAUCGUAUUGUUGUUUUCCAAGUGUUGCAGAGGAAGUGAGCUUUUACAGUGUAAAAUGCCUCAUCCCUGAAAUGAUAAGUAGUGCCUACAUAUAUCAGCUGCUGGGAUCUGCAGCUCUUGCUGGGUUGCCUUUGAAGGUUUGGGGGCUGCUCUGCUCUGGAUGCCUCAGGGAACCUCCCCACCUCUCCCAUCUUGAUAGCUGAUCUCAGCUACGCCCCUGGGUCCGUACGUGUUUGUAUUCUGACUGCGAUAAAGAACAGUGGUUUUUGCACGGUAUAAAUGAUUGUACUUCACUGUAGGUCUUGAGUUCAACAGCCACAGGAGACUGAGCCUGUCAGCAAGUGAGCCCUGCCUGAGUUUUUCUUUCUUAGCUAAGUGUUGAUUCCGUUGCUCCCAACAAAUGCAUCUCAAUAUAGAAAUCGUGUGUGAGGUGACACUUUCCCUGCCCUAUGGAAUAUUUUUCUCUGCCUGUAUUUAGAGUGUUUCUUGGGGUCUGAUGAGCAAACUUUUCCAUAGCAGUUCUUUUGCUGAACCUGGGACUGCCCCAUCCCUUCCAGAUUACCAUGUGCUUCUAAUGACAACUUGAUGCUCCAUGGUCUUACCCAGCAUACAACAAAGUGUGGGCAGCUGCUGGUAUGCAAAAGAUUUCCAAAGAUAGUGGGGUUUUACCAAAGCUGAAUCCUUCCAACAGGUGGGAUCUGCUCCUCCCACAGCUGUCCCUGCUGGGCUGCUGCUGCUUUUCCCAGGUGACGGACAGAUGAGCACAUGGAGCCUUCAAACUUGACUUGGCCAACGCUAAAGGGCUGGGUAAGCCCAGCUCAGCGCACUUGAAGUCAGCAGCUCCAGAGAAAUGCCUAUGUGAAAGUUCAGUGUACAACAGGAACUUUAAGCCACACGUCCCGAUAAGAAACUAGGAACCUCAAGAAACAGACUAGGAAAUGAGAACAAAAGGUAGCAAUUGUGUUUAUCACUCAAAGGAUCUGCCUCGCCCUCUGACUUCACCCUUCCCAUAGAGCUGGGUCACCCUAACCUAGUUUUCAGAUGACAGCUCUGGAGUUCGUAGAAAUAUGGUGAAGCUCCACUAAGGAAGAGCUUUCUCCAGAUCAUGGUGCUUUUCUUUACAGUCCCCCAUUACCAAAACCAGCAGCUGUGGGUUAUGUGGGCACCACAGCUGGGGAAAGCUAAUUCUCCUUGCAGGCAGGGAUAAAGGUUAGCUCAGCUGUGCAAGCUGAUUUAAAUUCAGCUGCACGUGGCCACAGAUUACACCUUUUGUUCCUGACAAAUACGAACACGAUAUUUGCUCUGCAAAUUCACCGUUUCUCAUGUACCAUCGUUCCCCUCGCUGUUCAUCUCGGAGAUGCAGAGUUUUGCUUGGCAGGAGGACAGCGCAGAGGGUGGUCGGGCUGAGUGGGAAGCAGCACCUCCUAGGAUGAAUGUGGGGUUUCCUCUUUUCCCCUGAAUUCUUGUGCAGCUUCUAAUAUCUUGGUGAGAUGCAAACAGCAAAAAUAAUAAAAGUCUUCUAAGCUACUGAGAGCAAAGGGAAGAAGACAUGCUCUAGUGAGAGCAGGAACAGGACUAUGGUGGAUACAGCCAGUGACAGAAGGCUUGUUGGAGCCCUUUUCCAGCUUGGAAAUUGGAUUCAGCUAAGGGAGCUGUCAGGGCUCCCAGCUGUUUUCCAAAAGCACAGUGUUAUUUUUUUAGCUGCCCUCCCCAUCCCACAUCAUCUUUGCUCUGGAUGUAAAGGCACGCAGUCUCAUAGAACUGAAUCAUAGAACGGCCUGCAUUGGAAAGGACCUCAAGGGUCAUCAGGUUCCAACCCCCUUGCCACAGCUGCUUGAUUUCUUGCCUACCUGGGGGAAAUACUGGCGAUAGGUGGACAGUCGAACUGGAUGAUCUUAGAGGUCUUUCCAACCUUGGUGAUUCUGUGAUUCUAUGACUUCACUCAAUGGAUGAUUCUCAUCAAGGAGCGCCCAUUGUGAGCAGCGUGUCACAGAAGCAACCUGUGGUGCCCUACAAGGGCUGUCAGACACGCAGGAGCAUCUCUGCUCAGGUACCGAUCCGGAUUUACCUCUGCCUAACAGAGCAGGUAGACAUUGCUUCGAAAGAAGUCAUGAAGAAUUUGUGAAGGAUUUCAAAAAACAAUUACUAUUUUAUUAAUUAUCAGCUAUGUUCUGUGACAGCUAAGAAACGACUGCAUAAUGUGGUCAGGCAGAGGGUUGUGAGAAGUUUCUGCUUGAGCUUGGGAAAUAAUGGGAACUCUCUCCAGGUUGAACUCUACAAGUCUACCCUGGAGAAUGCCAAGUGUCCUUUUUGAAACCUUUGGAGUCACGGCACCUUGCAGAAUCAUAAGAACAGCACGCUGUAACCAUCUCCAUCAAUGGCAUGGAGAAAAUGAAGAGCGGGACAGGCACACAUGGACAGAACCAGAAAGGAGAAAAGAGCAUCAGCACCAAAAGAAAACUGGGCAGAAUAUUCAUUUUCCUUGUAAGAUUAGUCAUGUCUGCCAUUUAUUUUUUAAACCAGUCUAUUACCAUUGUGGAAGGAGAAGCCCAUGGGUAUGGAUUGUAUAAGAGAGUGAGAAGAGUGUGAACACAACAGUUUGACAUGGAUCCACCUCCAGUGGCCUCCAGUGGUCCUGCAGGGUCUGAGUUGAAAGUCUUUCUGACAUCAAUACCAUGAAGCCAUCUGGGCACCUGUUAGCUUACUGCCUCCUUUCAGCCUCAGUUAGAGGAAGAUGGAACCACAAACCACAGGAAGAAAACACACACACUGGAGAUUGGAAUGGAAAUUGUCCAUUUUUUGGCUUUUUCAAAGGAAGUGUAUGCAGACUGCUUCAGCUGAAAGCUGGUGGUUCCACUUUGUACAGGGAAAGCAGAGCAGAACAGUGUGAGAUGAAAUGUGGGAGCUGGUCCAGAAUGAUGCAAUGAAGAAAGCGUCUUCAGCUGCAAAUGUGGAAGUAGCCAAGAUGUGCAAACCACCUCUCUCCUUCAAGCUGGAAUGAAAAUGGAACUGAAAAUAUCAUUUCUGAGAGGCAUGAGCAAUAGCCUCAGGACCUGCUGUAAAAAAAGGAAGUUGUUUAAAUAUACAAAGUUUGCAUUAGGAGCUGUUGGAAGGCACAUGAGCAGAAAUUACUUGCUGAUCAUGUCAUGCAUUUUUAGAGGUUCUCCUCAUUUAUCCCCGUUACAUAUGUGCUCACUGGUUCUUUCACUUGGAAGAGCUGCUUAGCCCACAGAGAUCCAUGUUUCACCAUGCAUGCAUUGUAAAACUGCUAUAGGAAGAGCGUUCAGCGAAGAGUUAAUGGCUUCCUUAGAAGGAUAAUACAGUUAACAGUGGAGAGGAUGUACAGCUAAAUAUGGCCCUUAUAAAACUUAGCAGAUAGCAUUAAAAAACAGACGUGCAGGAAGUGUCUAGUUCCUAUUAGAACUGAUUGUACACAGUUGCAUGGGAAGAAAUAAAUUUAGUGUACAGAAUUUUACAUCACAUCCUUUGAAAGCAGUGAAAUUCUCUGGGGUCCACAACUCUGUGCAUCUGGUCCGCAUGCACAUAACAUACACACACAAACAAUUAACUGGUGUGCAAGGUCUUUAAAGGAAAAUACACAUCUAAAAGUUAGCGCCUGCAUAUGCUGAAGUAAAUGGCAAUGUUGUGACUGGCUGCAACGGUCCCAGAUUGGGUUGCACCCAAAUCUAUAAGUGAGAUCCUCCUCCUCCUGAUACUGCACUCUCCUGGGGGAGCUCCAUGUGUAUGUGAAGAAGGGAGAAAUCCAUUCCUGUGCUCUGUGUGUUAGAAAAGCCUCCUCAUUCUUUUAUUUGGCCUAAUUCUUAUUUCAGAAAUAAGACAAGAGCUACUUAAAGAAUUUCCAUUGAUCAGUAGAUCAUUUGUUAUGAGCAGAAAAUUGGAUUUACUCUUACUCAAGUUGACUGAUUUGAUGGGAUUCUACAUGUUUAUUUUGGGGAUAUUUUCAGGAAAAAAAUAUCUGGAGCCAGAAUUAUCUAGCAUUAAAUAGAUGCUGCUCACAGGAGCCUGAAAAACCUUUCACAACUGUGUUUGAAAUGACUUUUUUAUUCAUUUGCAAGGACAUCAAAGAAUCACUUUGCCUCUAGUCUCAGUCCUGCCGCUGGCAGGUAUUGCCAAGGAAGUGACCCAGACAGCAUAGAGACAAAUCUGUGCUGAAGUGCAAGGUAAAAAUGCCUACCAGCAGAAAGAGCUGGACUCUGAGUAUGUUUCUGGACUCAAACCCAGGGCUUUUGUUCCCAGAAGACUCACUUCCCAUCGGUACACAGUGAAGCUUCAAGCCUGUGCAGUGAGGAUGUCCCAGCUGGGCUCAAGGCCUGAGGAGGGGGAAGGCUCCAGGCCUCUUUCAGAUGGGAGACUGAGCUGUUCUUCAGUCCCCAGUGGGGGCAAGAGUCAUGCCUGGUUCCUCACAAUGCCCUGUGGCCUCUGAGAACUGAGACAGCAAAAGAAUAAUGUUCAGAACAAAAUAUCCUUGAAAGCUGUUGGGUUGUAGCACCCUAGAAGAAUCUCCAUCCUUUGGCGUCUAGUCCAUAAUAAGGGGAAAAGCUAAAAAUGCAGAUUGACAGAUCAAAGCAGCAGCCACCAUACAUACCAUGGACGAGUCCUUAGACAGCUUAUCUCCUGUAUUGACAUAUCACCAUAUACUAGGAAGCAAACCAGGGUGCCCGGUCCAUCUGGAUUCUCAGCACCAGCAAGAAAGACAAAAGUGAAUAGAAUCACUAUGGCAAAAAAGAAGGUAUGGAAGAUGAAGAUUUCCAAUACAGAAUCUGGGUUUUAUGUUGUGUUUUUCUUGCUACAGAUGGCCUUGUGUGGAAUAUGGCAGCUAUCCUGCUGUGUUGGAAGAAUUAAGUUCAAUUUAAAUGUCUGGAUUUCCAGUCUACAGGUUUUGUAGGAAACAAGCAAGCAGUUUAAUGGAAGAAAUAAGCAGAAAACUCUCUGCUGUGCACUGUAUUUACAAAUCAUUUUUUGGUCAUUUGAUAUUUAAUUGAAUUUUAUUCUUGCAUCAAGAAAAUUGAGACCAAAAGUGAAAUUAAAUGACUGAUACUGGCCAAUAUGCACUGCUGGGGCAGAACAAUUUUUUUUCUCUGAUGAAAGGUACCUAUUUCAGCUACUUUGGCAGCUCCGCGGUUCAUCUGCCAGCAUGCAGGGUUGUUUCCAUUGGCAUCUGCCGGCUUUGGAUAAGGUUUGCACAGCAAAUCCCCCAUCCACAGCAGGGCACGGGCAGGCAGGUCUUUACAAUGAGGUUACUUUGCAACUCCAGGAGCACACUAUGUAAUGAGAAUUCAAAGCAGCAGCAGAACAUUAUUGAACAGCACGCCAAACAUGCUGCUAUUACUUACCAUCUGGUAAAAGUUAAAUUUCAUUAAUAAAUAUUAUUAUUAUUUA